GAUGAACGCUGGCGGCGUGCCUAAUACAUGCAAGUCGAGCGAACGGACGAGAAGCUUGCUUCUCUGAUGUUAGCGGCGGACGGGUGAGUAACACGUGGAUAACCUACCUAUAAGACUGGGAUAACUUCGGGAAACCGGAGCUAAUACCGGAUGAUAUUUUGAACCGCAUGGUUCAAAAGUGAAAGACGGUCUUGCUGUCACUUAUAGAUGGAUCCGCGCUGCAUUAGCUAGUUGGUAAGGUAACGGCUUACCAAGGCAACGAUGCAUAGCCGACCUGAGAGGGGGAUCGGCCACCCUGGAACUGAGACACGGUCCAGACUCCUACGGGAGGCAGCAGUAGGGAAUCUUCCGCAAUGGGCGAAAGCCUGACGGAGCAACGCCGCGUGAGUGAUGAAGGUCUUCGGAUCGUAAAACUCUGUUAUUAGUGAAGAACAUAUGUGUAAGUAACUGUGCACAGCUUGACGGUACCUAAUCAGAAAGCCACGGCUAACUACGUG
rnacentral:rRNA from 1 species